UACGUAGGGGGCAAGCGUUGUCCGGAAUCAUUGGGCGUAAAGAGCGUGUAGGCGGCCCGAUAAGUCCGCCGUGAAAGCCCAGGGCUCAACCCUGGGAUGCCGGUGGAUACUGUCGGGCUAGAGUGCGGAAGAGGCGAGUGGAAUUCCUGGUGUAGCGGUGAAAUGCGCAGAUAUCAGGAGGAACACCUAUUGCGAAGGCAGCUCGCUGGGACGUAACUGACGCUGAGACGCGAAAGCGUGGGGAGCAAACAGG
rnacentral:rRNA from 1 species